rnacentral:rRNA from 1 species
GACGAGGAUAACCAUUGGAAACAGUGGCUAAGACUGGAUAGGAAGAAAUAAGGCAUCUUUUUUCUUUUAAAAGACCUAGUGAUAGGUAUACUUUAGGAGGGGCUUGCGCCAUAUUAGUUAGUUGGUAGGGUAAUGGCCUACCAAGACGAUGAUGUGUAGCUGGACUGAGAGGUUGAACAGCCACAUUGGGACUGAGACACGGCCCAAACUCCUACGGGAGGCAGCAGUAGGGAAUUUUCGGCAAUGGAGGAAACUCUGACCGAGCAACGCCGCGUGAACGACGAAGUACUUUGGUAUGUAAAGUUCUUUUAUCAAGGAAGAAAAGCAAGUGGUGAACCAUUUGUUUGCCGGUACUUGAUGAAUAAGCCCCGGCUAAUUAUGUGCCAGCAGCCGCGGUAAGACAUAAGGGGCAAGUGUUAUCCGGAAUUAUUGGGCGUAAAGGGUGCGUAGGCGGUCUAGUAAGUCAGUGGUGUAAUGGCAACGCUCAACGUUGUCCGGCUAUUGAAACUGCUAAACUUGAGUUAGAUAGAGGCGAGUGGAAUUCCAUGUGUAGCGGUAAAAUGCGUAAAUAUAUGGAGGAACACCAGAGGCGUAGGCGGCUCGCUGGGUCUUAACUGACGCUGAGGCACGAAAGCGUGGGGAGCAAACAGGAUUAGAUACCCUGGUAGUCCACGCCGUAAACGAUGAGUACUAAGUGUCGGGUUAAACCGGUACUGAAGUUAACACAUUAAGUACUCCGCCUGAGUAGUACGUACGCAAGUAUGAAACUUAAAGGAAUUGACGGGACUCCGCACAAGCGGUGGAUCAUGUUGUUUAAUUCGAAGAUACCCGAAAAACCUUACCAGGUCUUGACAUGUUUUUGCGAAACGGUAGUAAUAUCGUGGAGGUUAUCAGAAACACAGGUGGUGCAUGGUUGUCGUCAGCUCGUGUCGUGAGAUGUUAGGUUAAGUCCUAAAACGAGCGAAACCCUUAUCGUUAGUUGCCAGCACGUUAUGGUGGGGACUUUAACGAGACUGCCAGUGAUAAAUUGGAGGAAGGUGAGGAUCACGUCAAAUCAGCAUGCCCCUUAUGACCUGGGCUACAAACGUGAUACAAUGGCUGUUACAAAGGGUAGCUGAAACGCAAGUUCUUGGCCAAUCCCCAAAAACAGUCUCAGUCCGGAUUGAAGUCUGCAACUCGACUUCAUGAAGUUGGAAUCGCUAGUAAUCGCGAAUCAGCAUGUCGCGGUGAAUACGUUCUCGGGGUUUGUACACACCGCCC